rnacentral:snoRNA from 1 species
AACCCAUGGUGAGGGCAAAGGUCCUUGUAUCUCUCCCAUGCAUUGUAAAGUGUUUCUAAAUCCAUCUGCACAAAAGAAGAGAUCUCAUUACGUAAUUU